UAGGAGAUCAAAGCUAUUAGGUGGAUGACUUGGUUCAAGAGCUGAUGAAGGGUAUGACUAGCUGUAUUAAGCUCCAGGUAAGUGCAUGUAACUCUUGAUCUGGAGAUUCCUCAAUGAGACAUCUCAUUAAAUCCGUAAGGAUGGGGAACGCAGGGAAGCGAAACGUCCUAGUACCUGCAGGAAAAGAAAUCAAUUGAGAUGUUGCUAGUAUCAGCGAGAGAACGCAACAUAGUGCAAACUGAAUCCCUUUAAGAAAUUGAAGGGAGAUGUGGUGUUUUAAGGAGUGUUCACAUAAAUCUUCUCUUGGCAACUUGAAUUUCUCUGGAAUGAGAAACCUUAGAGUGUUAUAGUCACGUAAAGGUAACUGAGAAAGAUUUGAGCAUUUUCUUGAGUACUGUUCACCGGAUACUGAACAGGAAUUCGGGAGGCAUCAACUUCCAACACUAAAUACUACUUGAAUCCGAUAGCAAACCUAGUACAACGAUGGAAAGUUGAAAAGAACCCGUGACAGGGAGUUAAUAGAGCCUGAAACCUAAUAGCUAUAGAUUGGCAGGGCAUUUAGGUGUUCUGCCGUGCGUUUCGAAUAACGUGCCAGGGAGUUUAUCUGAGUGGCGAGGGUAAUCCUUUUUCUGGGAGGACCCGUAGCGAAAGCAAAAUACUCGCAGUUUACGAGGAGUGAGAUAUGAAAGUGUCUUGAGUCACUUGGAUAUGGCCCGAAAUCAGUCGAUCUAGCCCUGAGUAAGGUGAAGCGAGGGUAAAACUUCGUGGAGGCCUGUAGAGGUUCUACGUGCAAGUGUUCUUCUAACUUGGGGUUAGGGGUGAAAAGCCCAUCGAGACUGGUGAUAGCUGGUUCCUACCGAAGUUGGCCGCAGUCAAGCCUGUGGAGAGAUAAGAUGGAAGGUAGAGCUACGGAUUGGGGACUUAGGUUCCGAAAGGGAUCGGUUUCCUGUCCAACUCCAAAAAUCUAUCUAUCGUAGACACACAGAGACGGGGGGUCUAGGGGUAAGCUUGACUCCCAAGAGGGGAACUACCCAGACUGCAGUUAAGGUCCCAAAAUGCUGACUAAGUGCUAAAGGGACAAAAGCGUCUAUUGUCUCAGACAGCGAGGAGGUUGGCUUAGAAGCAGCCAUCCUUUAAAAAGUGCGUAACAGCUUACUCGUCAAGACAAUGGGCCUUGAAAAUGGACGGGGCUAAGUCAGCUACCGAUACUGUAGAUUACCAAACGGUAAAUGAUAGGUAGGCGUUCUGUUAGGACAGAAGUACGUCUGAGAAGAUGUAUGGACCAGAUAGAAAUGAGAAUCCUGGCGGUAGUAGGAUCAAAGCAGAGUGAGAAUCUCUGUCGCUGAAGGGGCAAGGGUUCCCUGACAAUGUCGAUCAGUCAGGGGUUAGUCGAUCCUAACUGUAGUCAUAAUAUGAUUUACGGGAAAGGGAAAAAGGCUAAUAUUCCUUUACAGCUUAAUUACAAGCGGCAACGCAGGCUUUGUUUCUGAUAUUUUUGGAUAGGCUUACAUAACUCGUCUGUUAUGUUAACUAAACUAAAUUUGGUGAGUAUCAUAAUGAUGAGAUCCAAAUUAAAGUUAGGAUGAGUAUCCCUUUGGGGUAUUAAGCUGAUACCAUGAAUCAGUGAAAAGGAAACAGAGAUGGAUAUUGAGCAGCCGUACCAAGAACCAGCACUGGUGCCCCUAGGUGAGAAGCCUAAAGCGUGAAGGUGUAAUCCAAUUGAGGGAACUCGGCAAAUUAGCCCCGUACGUUCGCAAUAAGGGGUUCCUGCUUUUGUCUAUUCAAUAGGCGAUGGCAGGGCGCAGUGACAAGGGGGGCCCGACUGUUUAACAAAAACCAAACUUUCUGCAAGCCCGUAAGGGUGAGUACAGAAGGUGACGCCUGCCCAGUGCCAGUACUUUAAACUCCUUUUCAAGGGAGCUAAGAGCUGGUAAACGGCGGGAGUAACUAUAACUCUCUUAAGGUAGCGUAAUACCUUGUCGUUUGAAUGACGACUUGCAUCAAUGGCGUACAAUGUGAGGAUCUUUGUGUAGCGUAGGUGGUAGCUUCGGCAACAAUGAAACACCACUCUUAGGUUCUUACGUUGCUAACUCGCAUGCGAGGACAGCUAUUGGUGGACAGUUUGGCUGGGGUGGCACCCUGCUGAAACGAUAUCAGCAGGGCCCUAUGGUUACUUCAAGCGGGUCAGAAAUCCGCUGUAGAGUGCAAGAGCAUAAAGUAGCCUGACUGGAUUGCUAACAAGAUGCAAUUCAGAGAAGAAAUUCGGGUCUAGCGAACCGCUAUGUCCUCCUUGAUGGGGGCUAGUGAUGACCGAAAAGUUACUCCGGGGAUAACAGAGUCGUCGCGCCCGAGAGCUCAUAUCGACGGCGCGGCUUGCUACAUCGCUGUCGGCUCCUCCUAUCCUGGCUGUGCAGAAGCAGCCAAGGGGGCGGGGGUUCACCGAUUAAAAGGAGUCGUGAGCUGGGUUCAGAACGCUGUGAGGCAGUUUGUUUAAUAUCUACUGGAGAUGUUUGAUGUCUGAAGGGAAGGGAUUUCUAGUACGAGAGGAACGGAAUCUCGGCGCCUCUGGUCUACCAGUUAUCUGAUAAGGUACGCUGGGCAGCUACGCGCUGAUGGAUAAGUGCUGAAAGCAUCUAAGCACGAAGCCAUCCUUGAAAAGAGACAUCAUAGGACGCCCAUAAAAUAUGGGUUUGAUAGAGCUGGUGUGUAAGUGCCAAGGCAACGAGGCAUUCAGCAUGCGGCUACUAACAGUUCAUACCUUCUACU
rnacentral:rRNA from 1 species